CCUCUUUGAUCGAAAACCCGAGUCGUGGCAUCGUCAUACGUAAUGAUCUUGUGGCCCAUAUGUCUAUUGUCUAUCUCGAUGUGGCACAUGUUUCCAAGUUACUUGAGUACUCAAACAUAAUACUUGCUCACCUGAUGUUAGUAGAUCUUGAAUCAAAAGAGUUGUUCGUGGGUCAAAGAUUCACGAGCAAAGACGAGUGUGCCGGUGCCAUCAAGCGC
rnacentral:lncRNA from 1 species